CGCCUGGCCAGCACUAACAAUUUUAAUCUGUUCAACAAUUCUGUGAGCUGCAUACUAUCAUUAUUCUUGUUUUAAUGAGUAGAAAGCUAAGAAACAAAGGUUAAAUAUCUUGCCUAAAGCCACCUCGCUACCAAGAGACUAAGCCUAUGCUUGGCCUCGAGCAGCCAGGCUUAGAGCAGGACAGUCCAAUGGACCUUUCUGCAAUGAUGGAAAAUGUUCUAUAAUCUGUGAUUUCUGGCACAGCAGCCACUAGCCCUAUGCAGCUGUUGAACACUUUAAUGUGGCUGGUGCAACUGAGGAAAUAAAUUUUGAAUUUUAUUUAAUUUUAAUGAAUUUCAAUUUAAAAAGCCACAUGUGGCUAGCUGCUACCAUAUCAGGCAUCACAGCUCAAGAGGUCCCACUGUUAACUUCCAAAGCUCAGGUACAUCCAGUGUAGGCAGGAGACUUCAAAAAUGACACUAAUAAAAUUGGGACUAAUGUGUCUAUACAUGUGACUGUAAUGCGGGAGACAAACAUAUCUCAUUGCUAAUAAUAUUGCCAUAUUAUUUCCUAUUUGCCUUCUACCUAUAUGACAAACUUAUUUUUUCAGUAAAAAAAAUCUAUUAUUUUUAAAAAGUCAAAUGAUCAAAAGUGUAUAACCUAUUAAGCAAAACUUCCUUUCUCCAGCACCACUUCCACCGCCCCCAUCCUGAUCCCCUUCAGACCAGAGCACACAAAUUCUGUAUCUAUUUGAGUCUAUAUGUACAUGAGUGCACACAGAGGAAUAAAAAUGGGAUCCAAUCCCACUUAACUGUUCUACAACAUUUUCUUUACAUAAAAUUACAUCUCAUUCACCUUCCAUGUUGAUUGCCUACAUAUCUACCUCAUUCUUUCCUAGUAAAUAUUUUGUUGAUGGCUUUAUCCCAAUUUAUUUAAUUGGUCUUCUAUUAAUGGAAAUCUUAAUUAAUUCUCAAUUUUGUCUUUAAAAAUAAUACUGCAAUGAGUGUACAACCACCAUGGAGUUGCAGCUUUUUAAGACCACUCCCUAUACAUGGUUCAGCAGACAUUGUUGUUUGUCUACCCAAAAGACACCCCUCCACCUCUUCUUUGCUAUCAGAAUUGACCUGGUUCAGGGUCCACCCCAGUUCCUCGUGACUCAGACUUAGGUCCUGAUUGGUCUAGGCCACUUAAGUGAUCCCAUUUUCAUCAGCAGUGAUUGGUUAAUACCUGGGCAUCCAACUCAAUUCUGCCCCUCGGCAAAUAGCAGAAAAUGGCUGGAGGUCUUGAAAAAACAAGGUGCUCAGGGACAUUCUUCUGUGAGGGCUGCAGCCAUCACAUUGCCACAAGAGAACCUAGUCUGAGAAUAAGACAAAGAAGCCGAGGAUGGCAGAGGAAAAAGAUGGGAAGAAGCCAGAUCUUUAAUGCAGUGUUGAGCUGCUGAAUUAACCAAACUGGAGCCUCCUUACCUCUGGGCUUCCUGUAAAACUAACGAUCUUCUGUUGGUCCCUUCUGGUAGGGCCGAGGAGACCCCAGCAUCACGAAUUAAUUUGGGAUUACAGCCAAGCAAGUUUAAUGUUUCGAAAUAUCAUACACAAUGCAGCUGAGCGCCAAUUUUAUUCCCUGGGUUAGUACUAAUCAGCAAAAUGUACGUAAGGGCCUCAAGAACAGACUGCCCUGAACGUUCCUGUGUGUUGCUCCAGGUACCACCUACUCAUCCUCCAAUAUCCAGCUGGCACCUCCUCUGGGAAGACUUCCUGGAUAUUUCAGGUUGAUUUAGCAGCAUGCUAUGUGUAUCACACUGAAAUGGCCUACAUCCAGAAGCUGACACAUGGUAAAGAAUUAAAAGUUUCUUGAAAGAAUGCAUUAAUGCAACUUAUUUUCUGCUUCUAUUGUUUUUCUUGUAGUAUACCAACUAGGACACUUUUUGAAGAAACUGCAAUUCUUCUCAGCAUUCAAUUCUGUCCAGUGGCAAAGGUGAUCAGGAGAUUCAAAGUAGUAAAAAUAAUCCCCAAAGUAGUGCUACCACUAGGCCCUGGAAACCAACCUCACAUACUAAAGACAGACUGAAGAUCUGCAUUGAGCUAAGCCCUAAUUAUGUUCAGUGUUCUUAACUUUGAAUCUAGACUCCCAGGCUUUGUACUAUGCCGUAACCAAUUGGGCAACUAAAUGAUGACCGGUACAGCACAGCUGCUAAGAUCACAGACUAAUCCAAACUGCCCGGGUCUGUACCUUGCUUCAGCCACUGUCUAGCUGUGUGUCUUGGGCAAGUUAGUUAAUCCCUUUAUGCCUCAGUUUGCUUAUCUGUAAGAUGGGAACAAUAUUAACAGUACUGACCUCAUAGAAUAAAUGAUUUCACAUACGUGAAUGGUUACAACAGUGCUUUGCACAAAUUAAGUACUACUUAACCAGCUAUUUUUUGUAUUUCUUCUAUUAACUGGCAAACACAGAGAGAGAGGAAUAUCUAAGAAGCAAAUCAGAGGUAAUUUCAGGGUGUCUCUUUGCUGUGUGGAGACACUCCUGGCUCUCCUAGUGCCCACUUAAUUAAUUCACAGAUCAGAAUUGCAAGACCUAUGUCUAAUAUUGCCAGGGGUCUGCAGAAGAGACAUUGUCCUCCUUCCAGCUGGCUCCUCCAACACAGCCAAAGCAACAUGGGUUGUUCAUUCCUUACACAUCAACUAUAGCUGUGGGAACAAUGAGUUCUGCCUUUUUUUCCCUGUCCACUGCUUUCAUAUUUAAGGUUGCUCCUGUGUCAGUAGUGAUUAUCUCAGAAGAUCUCCCUGUAUAUAAGGCCCCAUGAACAAGAAAAUUUUGUAUCAAUUAACAAGAGACAAGCUUAGGGGAAGAAGUGCUUCCUGAACAUCACCUGCAGACUAGACUAUAGCACUCUUGUGGGAUCCCAACAAAUACGUCGUCCACCCCGCUCCCAACUAUUUAAAGAAUAUUUGAAAGCACUCGAAUUCUUUGGCAUAAACACUCUUUGAAAUGCAAGUUAUGUCGAAUCCUAGAAUUUUACUUCUGGAAGAUGUGGUGGGAGAUUAUAUAAAAUGGGGAAUCAGUGACCCAGCACCAUGGCUUCCCAGCUCCUCUGCACGCCCCCCCAUAUUUCCCAACCCUUGCAUUUGAAAUUUAAAAUGUUCUUUAAAAAAUUAAAGGCUUUCAGUGUUGAGUGAUAGUCACGCACUGCAUAAGGAUAUUUCAGUCAACAAUGGACCAAAUAUAUGACAGUAGUCGCGUAAGAUUAUAAUGAAGCUGAAAAAUUCCUACAGCCUAAUGAUGUCACAGCUGUCAUGUCAUAGCAUUUUUUUUAAAUAUAGUGUAGCCUAAGUUUAUAAUAUUUAUAAAGUCUACAAUAGUGUAACGUCCUAGGCCUUCACAUUCACUCACCACUCACUGACUCACCCAGAGCAACUUCUAGUCCCACAAGCUCCAUGCA
rnacentral:lncRNA from 10 species